UGCUCGGUAGCUCAGCGGUAGAGCAGGUGGCUGUUAACCACUUUGUCGCAGGUUCGAAUCCUGCCCGAGCAGCCA
rnacentral:tRNA from 1 species